UUUAAUUUCUACCCCAGAUGUGCAAGACCUGAUCUGGUUCUUGGUGUUAAACCUCAUUCAGAUAGAUCAGGAAUCACUGUCCUUCUGCAAGAUAAAGAAGUGGAAGGUCUUCAAGUUUUCAAAAAUGAUAAAUGGUUUAUAGUUUCUGUAAUUCCUCAUGCUUUUGUUGUCAACCUUGGGGAUCAAAUUAAUGCAGAUAAUGAGUAAUGGAAUAUUCAAGAGCCCAAUGCACAGGGUUAUGACAAACUCAGAAAGGAUGAGGAUAUCAGUGGCUAUGUUUAAUGAACCAGCGCCAGACAAGGAAAUUGGACCGGUGGAUGGCUUGAUAGACGAGAAAAGGCCAAGAUUAUAUAAAAAUGUGAAGAAUUAUGCCGCUUUCAACUUUGAGUGCUUUCAGAAAGGGGUGGUACCACUUGAAUCAGCAAAAAUAUGAGUUUUUAUCAUCUUCAUGACCUUUGGCCCUAGAAAUGAAUUAGGGAAUUUGUUUGUUGAUCGCAAGUGGUUAAACCAAUCUUUGGGCAUGUGACAUUGGAGCUUUGUUCUUCAUUGAAAAAAAUGGCAUCCAGUCUAUAAAUAUAAAGUAUGUUCUCUUA